rnacentral:tRNA from 2 species
CGGGGCGUAGCGCAGUCUGGUUUAGCGCGAGUGGUUUGGGACCACUAGGUCGGGGGUUCGAAUCCCUCCGCCCCGACCA